CAACUUAAUGGUAAGAAACUGGAAGCUUUCCCACUAUAGUCAGGAACAAGGCAAGGAUGUCCCCUCUUAUCACUGCUUUUCAACAUCAUACUGGAAGUUCUAGCUAACGCAAUAAUACGAGGAAAGGAAAUAAAAGGUGUACAGAGUAGGAAGGAAGAAAUAAAACUAUCUUUGUUUGAAGAUGACAUGAUUGUCUAUGUAGAAAAC
rnacentral:lncRNA from 1 species